UACGUAGGAUUCAAGCGUUAUCCGGAUUUAUUGGGCGUAAAGAGUGCGUAGGUGGUUACUUAAGCGCGGGGUUUAAGGCAAUGGCUCAACCAUUGUUCGCCCUGCGAACUGGGUUACUUGAGUGCAGGAGAGGAAAGCGGAAUUCCUAGUGUAGCGGUGAAAUGCGUAGAUAUUAGGAGGAACACCAGUGGCGAAGGCGGCUUACUGGACUGUAACUGACGUUGAGGCUCGAAAGCGUGGGGAGCAAACAGG
rnacentral:rRNA from 1 species